CAGUAGCCGCGGGAACACGAAGGGUGCAAGCGUUAAUCGGAAUUACUGGGCGUAAAGGGUGCGUAGGCGGUUCGUUAAGUCUGUCGUGAAAUCCCCGGGCUCAACCUGGGAAUGGCGAUGGAUACUGGCGAGCUAGAGUGUGUCAGAGGAUGGUGGAAUUCCCGGUGUAGCGGUGAAAUGCGUAGAGAUCGGGAGGAACAUCAGUGGCGAAGGCGGCCAUCUGGGACAACACUGACGCUGAAGCACGAAAGCGUGGGGAGCAAACAGGAUUAGAUACCCGGGUAGUCCCUGUCUCUUAUAC
rnacentral:rRNA from 1 species